rnacentral:rRNA from 1 species
AUUGAACGCUGGCGGCAGGCUUAACACAUGCAAGUCGAACGAGUGGCGGACGGGUGAGUAAUGUCUGGGAAACUGCCUGAUGGAGGGGGAUAACUACUGGAAACGGUAGCUAAUACCGCAUACCAUCGGAUGUGCCCCGAUGGGAUUAGCUAGUAGGUGGGGUAAAGGCUCACCUAGGCGACGAUCCCUAGCUGGUCUGAGAGGAUGACGAGACAACCUGGAACUGAUACACGGUCCAGACUCCUACGGGAGGCAGCAGUGGGGAAUAUUGCACAAGGGGGGCAAGCCUGAUACGGCCAUGCCGCGUGUAUGAAAAAGGCCUUCGGGUUGUAAAGUACUUUCAGCGGGGAGACGUUACCCGCAGAAGAAGGCCCGGCUAACUCCGUGCCAGCAGCCGCGGUAAUAC